UGGGGAAUUUUGGACAAUGGGCGAAAGCCUGAUCCAGCAAUGCCGCGUGUGUGAAGAAGGCCUUCGGGUUGUAAAGCACUUUUGUCCGGAAAGAAAUCCUCUGGGUUAAUACCUCGGGGGGAUGACGGUACCGGAAGAAUAAGCACCGGCUAACUACGUGCCAGCAGCCGCGGUAAUACGUAGGGUGCAAGCGUUAAUCGGAAUUACUGGGCGUAAAGCGUGCGCAGGCGGUUUUGUAAGACGGAUGUGAAAUCCCCGGGCUUAACCUGGGAACUGCAUUCGUGACUGCAAGGCUAGAGUAUGGCAGAGGGGGGUAAGAAUUCCACGUGUAGCAGUGAAAUGCGUAGAGAUGUGGAGGAAUACCGAUGGCGAAGGCAGCCCCCUGGGCCAAAUACUGACGCUCAUGCACGAAAGCGUGGGGAGCAAACAGGAUUAGAUACCCUGGUAGUCCACGCCCUAAACGAUGUCAACUAGUUGUUGGGGAUUCAUUUCCUUAGUAACGUAGCUAACGCGUGAAGUUGACCGCCUGGGGAGUACGGUCGCAAGAUUAAAACUC
rnacentral:rRNA from 1 species